rnacentral:rRNA from 1 species
GAUGAACGCUGACAGAAUGCUUAACACAUGCAAGUCGAUGGGGAAGUGGUGCUUGCACCAUGGUAACCAUGGCGGACGGGUGAGUAACGCGUAAGGAACUUGCCUGCUGGACUGGGAUAACAGCAGGAAACUGCUGAUAAUACCGGAUAAGGUCAUUAAGCUGCAUAGCUUAGUGAUGAAAGGAGACGCCUGCGGAGAGCCUUGCGUCCUAUUAGCUAGUUGGAGGGGUAACGGCCCACCAAGGCGAAGAUAGGUAGCCGGCCUGAGAGGGUGGACGGCCACAAGGGGACUGAGAUACGGCCCUUACUCCUACGGGAGGCAGCAGUGGGGAAUAUUGGACAAUGGGGGCAACCCUGAUCCAGCAAUUCUGUGUGCACGAAGACGGUUUUCGGAUUGUAAAGUGCUUUCAGCAGGGAAGAAGGAAGUGACGGUACCUGCAGAAGAAGCGACGGCUAAAUACGUG